ACUCUACAUCUCCUGACAAUUGCAAUCUCACUUUCCCUGACUCCAUACUUCACCUUCCUGUCUGUCCCCAGCACAGCCGGACCUUACCCUCCACCCUUGUCCGCUUACCUCAGUGUCUCUAUGGUCAGAACAGCCAACCACAACAAGGCUUCCACUGGCAGGAAACAGUCUUCACACUCUUGGGAUUUCCUAUUAUGUGAUGUGCAACCUUUUCCAGAAACAAUCGAACCUAAAAAUAGAAACCGCCUGGAUCCACCUUCAUCUCAAUACAAUGACUCCGUGGCCGCUGUAACUGGCCUUGAAGCAGUGCCAGGCACUUUGAAAUCCCGAGGCUCAUCGGUGUGAAUGAAGGAAGCGCUUCCAGGGACUCCCAAGCGAGGGGAGGCUGCUGUUUACUUAUUCCCUAGUCUUUGUUAUUUUGUUGGCCUUUGCCAGGAAAGCCUGGGUAGGAGGAAGGAAAGCAAGAAGGGGAUCAGAGGGGUGCAGGAGAUUAGCAAGCAGAA
rnacentral:lncRNA from 1 species